GAUGAACGCUGGCGGCGUGCCUAAUACAUGCAAGUCGAGCGAACAGAUAAGGAGCUUGCUCCUUUGACGUUAGCGGCUGACGGGUGAGUAACACGUGGGUAACCUACCUAUAAGACUGGGAUAACUUCGGGAAACCGGAGCUAAUACCGGAUAACAUUUGGAACCGCAUGGUUCUAAAGUGAAAGAUGGUUUUGCUAUCACUUAUAGAUGGACCCGCGCCGUAUUAGCUAGUUGGUAAGGUAACGGCUUACCAAGGCAACGAUACGUAGCCGACCUGAGAGGGUGGUCGGCCACACUGGAACUGAGACACGGUCCAGACUCCUACGGGAGGCAGCAGUAGGGAAUCUUCCGCGAUGGGCGAAAGCCUGACGGAGCAACGCCGCGUGAGUGAUGAAGGGUUUCGGCUCGUAAAACUCUGUUAUUAGGGAAGAACAAAAGUGUAAGUAACAGUGCACGACUUGACGGUACCUAAUCAGAAAGCCACGGCUAACUACGUG
rnacentral:rRNA from 1 species